UACGUAGGGUGCAAGCGUUAAUCGGAAUUACUGGGCGUAAAGCGUGCGCAGGCGGUGAUGUAAGACAGGGGUGAAAUCCCCGGGCUUAACCUGGGAACUGCAUUUGUGACUGCAUCGCUGGAGUGCGGCAGAGGGGGGUGGAAUUCCGCGUGUAGCAGUGAAAUGCGUAGAUAUGCGGAGGAACACCGAUGGCGAAGGCAAUCCCCUGGGCCUGCACUGACGCUCAUGCACGAAAGCGUGGGGAGCAAACAGG
rnacentral:rRNA from 1 species